CCUGACCCUAGAGGUGUCACUGUUGUGUCACAUGUACGUCAGUGGGUGAUGGGGGACUGGAGGGAGAGCUAUGUCUAUGUUCUGUGUUCUAACCUGUGAACCUCUGAAUGAGAUUUAAGCUUAACAGU